UACGAAGGGGGCUAGCGUUGUUCGGAAUUACUGGGCGUAAAGCGUGCGCAGGCGGCUUCUCAAGUCAGGGGUGAAAGCCCAGAGCUCAACUCUGGAAUUGCCUUUGAGACUGAGUGGCUUGAGUACGAGAGAGGUGAGUGGAAUUCCCAGUGUAGAGGUGAAAUUCGUAGAUAUUAGGAAGAACACCAGUGGCGAAGGCGGCUCACUGGCCCGGUACUGACGCUGAGGCACGAAAGCGUGGGGAGCAAACAGG
rnacentral:rRNA from 1 species